GAGCCGGUAGCUCAGCAGGAUUAGAGCACUGCUUUCAGAGGCAGAGGUCGUGGGUUCAAGUCCCACCCGGCUCA
rnacentral:tRNA from 1 species